rnacentral:rRNA from 1 species
CCCUUAGAUGUUCUGGGCCGCACGCGCGCUACACUGAUGCAUUCAACGAGUCUAAAACCUGGUCUGAUAGGGCUGGGUAAUCUUUUGAAAGUGCAUCGUGAUUGGGAUAGAUGAUUGCAAUUCUUCAUCUUCAACGAGGAAUGCCUAGUAAACGCAAGUCAUCAGCUUGCAUUGAUUACGUCCCUGCCCUUUGUGCACACCGCCCGUCGCUCCUACCGAUUGAAUGAUCCGAUGAAUACCAUGGAUUGAGAGUACGAAUGGGUUCGCUCAUUUCUGCUGCUCGAGAAGUGGAGUAAAUCUUAUCAUUUAGAGGAAGGAGAAGUCGUAACA